AUACGGAGGAUGCGAGCGUUAUCCGGAUUUAUUGGGUUUAAAGGGAGCGUAGGCGGGAGCUUAAGUCAGCGGUUAAAUGGUGCGGCUCAACCGUGCCCUGCCGUUGAAACUGGGUUUCUUGAGAGUGCAAGAGGCGGAUGGAAUUCAUGGGGUAGCGGUGAAAUGCUUAGAUAUCAUGAAGAACUCCGAUUGCGAAGGCAGUCCGCUGGGGCACGUCUGACGCUGAUGCUCGAAGGUGCGGGAAUCAAACAGGAUUAGAUACCCUGGUAGUCCGCACGGUAAACGAUGAUUACCCGCUGUCGGCGGUAGACAGUCGGCGGCCAAGCGAAAGCGAUAAGUAAUCCACCUGGGGAGUACGCCGGCAACGGUGAAACUCAAAUGAAUUGGCGGGG
rnacentral:rRNA from 1 species